rnacentral:tRNA from 1 species
GAGGGUAUAGCUCAGUGGUAGAGAGUGUGCUUAGCAUGUAUGAGGUCCUGGUUUCAAUCCCCAGUACCUCCA